rnacentral:lncRNA from 1 species
CAGACUUUCAAGAUAUUCCAUAUUCUGAUUGGUGUGAGCAGACUAUCCAUAAUCCUUUAGAAGUGGUUCCCUCUAAGUUUUCGGGGAUUUCUGGAUGCAGUGAUGGGGUGUCUCAAGAAGGCUCAGCUAGCAGCACCAAAAGCACAGAAUUGUUACUAGGUGUUAAAACAAUUCCAGAUGAUACACCAAUGUGCCGUAUACUCCUUCGCAAAGAAGUUCUAAGAUUAGUCAUUAAUUUGAGUAGUUCAGUUUCAACUAAAU